rnacentral:rRNA from 1 species
ACGUAGGAGGCAAGCGUUAUCCGGAGUUACUGGGCGUAAAGGGCGUGCAGGCGGUUGGCUAAGUUCGUUGUGAAAGCCCCCGGCUUAACCGGGGGGGGACAAUGGAGACUGGUGAGCUAGAGGGCGGUAGAGGGGAGUGGAAUUCCGGGUGUAGUGGUGAAAUGCGUAGAGAUGCGGAGGAACCCCAGUGGCGAAGGCGAC